rnacentral:rRNA from 1 species
UACGUAGGGGGCGAGCGUUACCCGGAUUCACUGGGCGUAAAGGGGGCGUAGGCGGCCGUGUAAGUCCGGUGUGAAAUACCACGGCUCAACCGUGGAACUGCGCUGGAAACUACACGGCUUGAGGACGGUAGAGGGAGACGGAACUGCUGGUGUAGGGGUGAAAUCCGUAGAUAUCAGCAGGAACGCCGGUGGGGAAGCCGGUCUCCUGGGCCGUUCCUGACGCUGAGGCCCGAAAGCUAGGGGAGCAAACCGG